GAGUGUUAGGCAAAUCCGGCACUCUUAAGAUUGAGCUGUGAUGGGGAGAGGAACUUGUUCCUCGAGUCGUUGAUUUCACACUGCCGAGAAAAGCCUCUAGCUAGAAUAACGGUGCCCGUACCGCAAACCGACACAGGUAGUCAAGAUGAGAAUUCUAAGGUGAGCGAGCGAACUCUCGUUAAGGAACUCGGCAAAAUGACCCCGUAACUUCGGGAGAAGGGGUGCUCUUUGAGGUUCACGCUUCGAAGAGCCGCAGUGAAUAGGCCCAAGCGACUGUUUAUCAAAAACACAGGUCUCUGCUAAACCGUAAGGUGACGUAUAGGGGCUGACGCCUGCCCGGUGCUGGAAGGUUAAGAGGAGUGGUUAGCGCAAGCGAAGCUACGAAUCGAAGCCCCAGUAAACGGCGGCCGUAACUAUAACGGUCCUAAGGUAGCGAAAUUCCUUGUCGGGUAAGUUCCGACCCGCACGAAAGGCGUAACGAUUUGGGCACUGUCUCAACGAGAGACUCGGUGAAAUCAUAGUACCGGUGAAGAUGCCGGUUACCCGCGACAGGACGGAAAGACCCCGUGGAGCUUUACUGUAGCCUGAUAUUGAAAUUCGGUACAGUUUGUACAGGAUAGGUAGGAGCCUUAGAAGCGUGAGCGCUAGCUUACGUGGAGGCAUUGGUGGGAUACUACCCUAAUUGUAUUGGAUUUCUAACCCGCAGCACUUAUCGUGCUGGGAGACAGUGUCAGGCGGGCAGUUUGACUGGGGCGGUCGCCUCCUAAAGAGUAACGGAGGCGCUCAAAGGUUCCCUCAGAAUGGUUGGAAAUCAUUCAUAGAGUGUAAAGGCAUAAGGGAGCUUGACUGCGAGACCUACAAGUCGAGCAGGGUCGAAAGACGGACUUAGUGAUCCGGUGGUUCCGCAUGGAAGGGCCAUCGCUCAACGGAUAAAAGCUACCCCGGGGAUAACAGGCUUAUCUCCCCCAAGAGUUCACAUCGACGGGGAGGUUUGGCACCUCGAUGUCGGCUCAUCGCAUCCUGGGGCUGUAGUCGGUCCCAAGGGUUGGGCUGUUCGCCCAUUAAAGCGGUACGCGAGCUGGGUUCAGAACGUCGUGAGACAGUUCGGUCCCUAUCCGUCGUGGGCGUAGGAAAUUUGAGAGGAGCUGUCCUUAGUACGAGAGGACCGGGAUGGACAUACCUCUGGUGUACCAGUUGUCGUGCCAACGGCAUAGCUGGGUAGCUAUGUAUGGACGGGAUAAGUGCUGAAAGCAUCUAAGCAUGAAGCCCCCCUCGAGAUGAGAUUUCCCAACUUCGGUUAUAAGAUCCCUCAAAGAUGAUGAGGUGAAUAGGUUCGAGGUGGAAGCGUAGCGAUACGUGGAGCUGACGAAUACUAAUCGAUCGAAGACUUAAUCAA
rnacentral:rRNA from 1 species